GACGAACGCUGGCGGCGUGCUUAACACAUGCAAGUCGAACGGAAAGGCCCUUCGGGGUACUCGAGUGGCGAACGGGUGAGUAACACGUGGGUGAUCUGCCCUGCACUUUGGGAUAAGCCUGGGAAACUGGGUCUAAUACCGAAUAUGAUCAUGGCCUUCAUGGGUUGUGGUGGAAAGCUUUUGCGGUGUGGGAUGGGCCCGCGGCCUAUCAGCUUGUUGGUGGGGUAAUGGCCUACCAAGGCGACGACGGGUAGCCGGCCUGAGAGGGUGUCCGGCCACACUGGGACUGAGAUACGGCCCAGACUCCUACGGGAGGCAGCAGUGGGGAAUAUUGCACAAUGGGCGCAAGCCUGAUGCAGCGACGCCGCGUGAGGGAUGACGGCCUUCGGGUUGUAAACCUCUUUCAGCAGGGACGAAGCGCAAGUGACGGUACCUGUAGAAGAAGGACCGGCCAACUACGUGCCAGCAGCCGCGGCAAUACGUAGGGUCCGAGCGUUGUCCGGAAUUACUGGGCGUAAAGAGCUCGUAGGUGGUUUGUCGCGUUGUUCGUGAAAACUCACAGCUUAACUGUGGGCGUGCGGGCGAUACGGGCAGACUUGAGUACUGCAGGGGAGACUGAAAUUCCUGGUGUAGCGGUGGAAUGCGCAGAUAUCAGGAGGAACACCGGUGGCGAAGGCGGGUCUCUGGGCAGUAACUGACGCUGAGGAGCGAAAGCGUGGGGAGCGAACAGGAUUAGAUACCCUGGUAGUCCACGCCGUAAACGGUGGGUACUAGGUGUGGGUUUCCUUCCUUGGGAUCCGUGCCGUAGCUAACGCAUUAAGUACCCCGCCUGGGGAGUACGGCCGCAAGGCUAAAACUCAAAGAAAUUGACGGGGGCCCGCACAAGCGGCGGAGCAUGUGGAUUAAUUCGAUGCAACGCGAAGAACCUUACCUGGGUUUGACAUGCACAGGACGUGCCUAGAGAUAGGUAUUCCCUUGUGGCCUGUGUGCAGGUGGUGCAUGGCUGUCGUCAGCUCGUGUCGUGAGAUGUUGGGUUAAGUCCCGCAACGAGCCCAACCCUUAUCUUAUGUUGCCAGCGCGUAAUGGCGGGGACUCGUGAGAGACUGCCGGGGUCAACUCGGAGGAAGGUGGGGAUGACGUCAAGUCAUCAUGCCCCUUAUGUCCAGGGCUUCACACAUGCUACAAUGGCCGGUACAAAGGGCUGCGAUGCCGUGAGGUGGAGCGAAUCCUUUCAAAGCCGGUCUCAGUUCGGAUCGGGGUCUGCAACUCGACCCCGUGAAGUCGGAGUCGCUAGUAAUCGCAGAUCAGCAACGCUGCGGUGAAUACGUUCCCGGGCCU
rnacentral:rRNA from 1 species